AUUAAAAAUAACUUUUUCUACAAACAAAUUCCACUGUGAUAACAUUGAUAAGAUAUUCUUGCACAUAUCUUUAUAAAAUACCACCAAUAUACCGGUUAUACGUUCAGUCAUCCGUUUAUUUUUAAAUAUUAUACGUAUUUGGAAACAAUUUUUACAAAUAUGACGGCGCGUCUCAUAAAAGACAACGUCAAGAGUGACACCGGCAGUCACUCUAGCGGAGCGUCGUGUCGACGGUAGCGGGGCCGACCAUCUUUGCUUGUAUUUUUGGUGGUACAGAACGGCCAGCGCACCACGGUUGCGACGAAUCGCUACAAGCAGUGUAUCAGUGUAAUAAUGAAUUCGGAUGAAGGCCCUCCUGCGCUUUCAUCAGAAGUGGGAUCGAACGGAAUGCAAAAUGAAGAAAAAUUGUCGGAUACGUCACACGCUGAAAAACUAUUGAGUAACAUGGAAAGGUUGCUUUCUCGGGUUUUGGCUAUUCCACAAACGCCAACCGUGAGUACUAAUCGUUCACCACUUUUAAAGUUUGAUCCGGAUGAUUCUGAGUCAGAUAUUGAUGACUGGUGUAAAGUAACGGAGAUCAUUGUGACAAAUAAAGGCUUGGAAGGGGUUGACCUAUUAAUAGCCUUAACAGGAGCGCUAAAAGGUCGUGCUGGUGCAUGCAUAGCUAAGCUAAAUUUGGAAGAAAUCACUUGGAGUUCAGUCAAAGAGAUUUUAAUAGCGAGAUUUUCAAAACCCAAACUUAUCCAAGACUAUUUCGACGAUGUGUUGCGAUUUAAAAUAAGCGCUAAUGAGACAGCGUCCGAAUCAGCUCUACGUUUAUGGAAUCUUAUCGAAAAGAUACCUAAUACUAAGAUGUCUGAAGAAGUAAUAACUGGAUUUGUAAUUUCGGUACUGUGUCAAAAAGAUAACAUGAUACGUCGUGAACUAAAUGCACAGACAAUCACGAGCCGUGCCCUAUUAUUCCGCAUCCUUGGUGGAAUAUCACUGAAGAGACGCUUGGAUGCCGAAGCUCAAGAACCUGAAGCCAAGCGAGUUCGAUUGGAUGAGAAGUUCUCUGGCAAGUGUCAUUACUGCGGAUUGAAUGGACAUCGUAUAGCAGAGUGUCGAAAACGACGCAAUGAUAGGGAAACGAAAACUCAAGAGCCUUCAAGUUCAUCACGUUUAGUGGAAAGAAGCCAGCUGUUACUUGCUACGCCUGUGGACAGCCUGGCCAUGUGGCGACGGCCUGUCUGAAUAAGAAGAAUAGUAGUGCAGCCACAGUCAAGGAAGUCCAACAAUGCGAGCACAGGCCCUCCAGAGGUACCCUAAGGACGUCAUCGGAAACUUACAGACGCCCGAGGACGGUCGUAUGUCAGUCUGGCCGUGACGGCGCGUCUCAUAAAAGACAACGUCAAGAGUGACACCGGCAGUCACUCUAGCGGAGCGUCGUGUCGACGGUAGCGGGGCCGACCAUCUUUGCUUGUAUUUUUGGUGGUACAGAACGGCCAGCGCACCACGGUUGCGACGAAUCGCUACAAGCAGUGUAUCAGUGUAAUAAUGAAUUCGGAUGAAGGCCCUCCUGCGCUUUCAAAUAGAAAAAUAUUGUCAAACAAAACAGCAAAGUAUUGUUUUGUGCCAAAUCGUGACUAAAUCGCAAGUCAAUCACCCAAAUAGUG
rnacentral:misc_RNA from 1 species